AUGCCAAAGUACUAGGGAGGUUUGGGGUUCCGGGAUACUGAAUUAUUUAAUUUAGCUAUGCUAGCUAAGCAAGCUUGGAGACUUACAAAGGACCCGAACUCACUUAGUGCCAGGAUUUUGCGCGCUGUUUACUACCCAGAGGGUGACGUGCUGAAUGCUGAGCUUGGGUCUCACCCUUCACAGGUUUGGAGAGCUGUUUGUGCUGGUCUAUCUAUUCUAAAACAAGGGCUUAUAAAGAGAGUUGGUAAUGGGCAGUCUAUCAAAAUUUGGGAACACAAUUGGUUGCCUCGGGACUUUAUGCUCAGAACUCUGCAUCCAAGAUCGACGGAUCCGCCAGAAUUAGUGAGUGACCUCAUUGAUCAGGUGACUAAAACAUGGGAUCGGCAGCAAGUUUUGCAUCAUAUGCAGGCUCGUGAUGCGUUUGUGAUCCUGAACAUACAAAUCAGUGCUCGAAAUGUUGACGAUCUAUGGGCAUGGCACUAUGAACGCAACGGAGUUUUCAGUGUUCGAUCA
rnacentral:rRNA from 1 species